GAAUCUAAUGCCUGAUGACCUAUCACUGUCUCCCAUCACUCCCAGAUGGGACCGUCUAGUUGCAGGAAAACAAGCUCAGGGCUCCCACUGAUUCUACGUGAUGAUCAACUGCAUGGGGUCCUACAGGAGAAGACCAAGAGACAGAGACAGGGACCAGGGAAAAUGACUGAAACCAUUCCUUCUCAGGGAUGCUACACAUCCAUAGGGCAGAGGAUAAGAGGUUUCUGAAGGCAUCACCCCUCUGGCCAUGGCUGCUGUGCAGAGGAAGCUGGAGAUUUGGAGUAGCCUGUUGUCCCACUGACUCUUAGACUGCUCCAGCUAAGAAGAACCAACUCCUCCUAUUACAGAUGAAAUAAACAAAGCUACUCAGGCUCUCUGGCAUCGCCCUGAUGGUCAUCAUGCGCUUCACAUUUCCCUCUUGCCCCCCCGAUUUUCUGGAAAAGGGAGAAAAACACCAAAAAGAGUUCUAGAAAAAAUGAGAAUAAGGAAUUUACCUGUAAUCCUUGCUCAAUAAACUAAAGCUCUGAGGCCACAUUGUUCCAGCCUUUUGCAGCUCCUGCACGUGGAUACCAGCACCAGCAGCUCCCUGACCAGGGGCCCCAGCUAAGCUCUCCCAGAGGAUGAUCUUGGCUUUGUACAUGGAGUGCCAACAUCCUGUGAGUCCAACAGAGGGAAGACAUAAGAAUAUGGUCACCCAGGUAAGUGGUGGAUAGCUGAGUGACUAUAUUCUUGCUCACCACCACCCCCAUCAGAGGGGGUGUCUGUGUUUCUAGUUGGGGGAAGCUUUGGUAGACUGUCAGUAAUUCCUCCCUGUGUCCCCCAUCGUGUGUCAGGUAACAGACAUUUGUCUUAAUGUAUUCACUGUGUCAUCAGAAGCCACUUCUUAUC
rnacentral:lncRNA from 1 species